CUUCUUCGUUACCUCUUCGUUUUUCCUUGUAUGUUAUUCCUUCUUACCAUUUUUUUUUCAAUUUCUUAUGGAGUUUCGUUUGUGCUCGCAAAACCACCGCGUGUUGCUCACUGGCGAUUGGAGAAGACGAAGUAGGUACGAUCCAUUUUUAUUCUAGGUUUUCGAAUGGAAUGUGAUAGCGGGUUUUCGAAUGGUUUUCAAUUCUAGGUUUUCGCUUUUACAGUUUUCUUGGUUAUGAAUUUACUUCGUAUUCUGAGUGUUAUCUAACGGUAAAAAAUCACUGGUUAUGAGGGGCACGUAUUGGUACUAAGGGUCGAGGCGGUUGGAGAGGAUUUUGAUGCGACCAGUGAUGUCGAGGUAGCUGUAUUGUGAUGGGAGGGGUUCCGACAGAAGGCAUAAGGGUUGGUAGACUUGCUGCUGCGGCAGAGGCGACGAGUGAUGCUUCUUGAAGGAAGAAGGGUUGCUUAAUUGAAAAAGUAAGAAGGGUGAACUUAGUAUUUUUCCAAAGACUUUUGUGGUGCUGUCUCAUUGUUUGCAUAUGAUGCCCAGGUAAAAGUCUGCUGCUGCUGCUGAUAAUGCAAAUUUGAAGAGAAAUCCAUGGGUACCAGGAAGUACCAGGAAUCUUGAGAUAUAUAUUUUGAAGGAUCAGUUGCAGCUUAAAGGCCCUUGGUCACAAAUGGAUUGAUUUUCUUGAUUUUUGUGGGAAAUUGAUUUGCAGAAGAAUUGAAAUGAUUGAAGAAUUAGAGAAGAUGGCAAGCCUCAGUAUUCCCAAAGACUUGUCGAGUGAGGAAGCUAAUCAAUAUUUGAAGGAUGCAUGCGUGAAGUAUGAGAUCAAAUGUCCACCUCCUGAGACAACUGCACGUUUGUUGGAUAAAGUUUAGUGAUUGACACAUUAGGCCAGAGAACUUCUUAGUAUAGAGGUGUCACAAGGUGGUUAUGAUAUAGAAGAGAAAGCUGCAAGAGCAUAUGAUCUUGUAGCUCUUAAGUAUUUAUUGGGGACCUUCAACACACACAAACUUCCCACUAGAAAAUUACCAAACUAAACUUGAGGAAAUGAAGAAUAUGAGCAGGCAUGAGUAUGUGGCCCACUUGAGAAGAAAGAGUACUGGGUUUUCAAGGGGUGCAUCAAUGUACAGAGGAGUGACAAGGAAUUUCCUUCCAAUGCAUGUCCUAGGUAUGCAAAAGACUUUUAAGUAAGGAGCUUGCUAAGAGGAUGACAUUGUAACUGCAUAUGACAAUGCAUAUUUGACAGUCCAUGAACCGAAACUAAAAGGUGGAUUUGACAGCUUAUGUGGAGAAGCAUAAGUUCUGUUUUGAUGUUGUUUUGACGAGAAUGUUACCAAUGACGAAUUAUGAAGAGUACAUAAUGAUAAAGAGGUUAGAGAUCUUGCAACUUAUGCAUAUCUUUAUGUGAAAAUCUGAAGAAGAUUUAUCUUUUAAUUUUCUCUAUUAAAUCAUUGGAGUACUAUGGGCGUGAACCGAUUUAACUGAGAUGGAACUACAACUUUGGAGCAGCAGAGGAAAGCAUUAGUUUUGAUAUGAAAGGGCAAGUUGAAUGUGAUGGAGGAAACCCUGAUAUUGUUCAAGCUCGUGUUGAUUACUACACACAAUACUGUUCAAAGCUUGGUGUUGCUCCUGGUGAUAACCUCACUUGCUAAGCCAUCUUAGUUACUCAAUGCAUCAAGGAUAUUUUACUGGGAAGGGUUGCUCAUAAAGUUGGGGUUGCAUGUUGAAAAAAAUCCCUUUUGUCUGCAAGAAGAUUCAAGAGUCCAGCUAGGGAAUUCAUUUUUCAACAUUAUAUAUAUUUUUUAUAUUUAUAUUGUAAUUGACAAUGAAUAAACUUUAUCUUAAAUCAUCAAUAAAAUUAAUUUUGGUUAAA